UCACCACUCCGAAAUCAAGUCCCACGCUCUUCCCACGGAUCCAGCCACGCGCCCUCCGAUUUAUAUUUUUAAGGCCAGAGCCUUUCUCUUAACGGACUCCAUCCACUCGGAGACCAACAGCGGUCAUCUGGGGGGCCUGGUGGCUGGCCCUCGUUCCCACCUGCCAGCCUGUCCCCUGCCCAGGCCACGCCCGUCCCGCAUGCUACGAAGCGCUUUCCACUCCCGCAGCUGCGCGUCUCUCCAGGAACCAAAGUGGAGAUGCCCUCGCCUGGUGGUCAGUCUCUGGGCUCGAGUUCCUUUUACCCGCCCUUCCUUGCCAGCCUAGAUCGUGGACUCUCCGCAUUCCUGGGAAGACCUUUCCAGAGCUUUCUGAAGCGGGUCCCAGACAGAGCGGCAACGCCUUCAGCCCAUGGCCGGCGUAGACGCGACCCUCUGAUCCCGUUUGGACGCCUGCUGAGACUCGCAGCCGGAGGUGUUCAGCUCGGAGUCCGGGAGAGGGCGUGGAGGGCAGCUCCGAGGACAAUUAUGCCUCGCUGGUAGAUAAAGACGCUCGGGGGUAUUUUCGGGAAUCUAUUUGUACGCUUCCCCGUGCAUUUGUUUAUGAGAAUGUUGUCUGAAUUCGCCUAUUUAUGAACGUUGUGUUCGCAUGUUUCAGGCUGAAUAAUUUUUAGCAAGACACGCUGCCCAGUAGCUGCAGAUGGCCCUAGUCCAAACCAAAUCGCUGCAGACAAGCGACUGCGGGUAGAUGGGUUUUGUUGAAAUGGAACACAAAUUAGCGAGAGAUUUUUAAAUGCUCGGUCUCGGUGGGAGGGUGUCUAAUUUGCCUCGGGAGUAAAAAUGGUGUUUGGAAAGGGGUUUCAUGAAAGGAUUUAAAGCCAAAAGAAAUUUAAAUUUGUUUUGUUUUGCACAGGUUCCAAGUUCAUCCCUGGGCGGGGCGAGGAGGGGGGGAUAUGAGGGGGCGGUGUCGCCGCGAACUGCUCUGCGGAGGAAGAUAACACUCCAGCCGCCUGACGUCCUAGACCCGGGGGAGAAGGUGCCGCAGUCCUGCUCCUGGAAGCCCGACUGGCCUGUUUAUUCCACGUCUCUCGUGCUGCCCUCCUUGCCUUCUU